ensembl:lncRNA
AUUUCACAGCUAUUCUGUUGGAUGUAAUGGGAAACUCCACCAGUUACCUGCAAGAACUAUUUAAGUCCAGCUCUAUCCUCUCAGUCAGUCAGAAGAACAGCUCUGAUUGCAUCUAUAUCUGUGUCAUGGCUGGAAAGUCAGACAGUGAUCUGUCUCAGCUCUGGGACAUGGGCUCAGUCAGACCUCUGUUUAAUCAGACCAUCACAGAGGAAAUACCCAGAGGUAAUAUGACAUUUCCAUUGCUGCCCUUUGUGUGGCAUGACCUCCCAAACACUAGUGAACUGGUACUAUGGCCUAAACCCAGUACAGAUUCCCACAGGAGCAGAGUACCUACCUCUACAAUAGCAUCAACACCACUUAUUAGAUCAACAGCAGCUCCUGAAACUACCUUCACUGUGACGACCACCACAACCUCACCCACUAGUGAUCUCACAACUGCUGUGAUCACCCAGCCAAAAGCUGUAACGGUAACCACAAAUGCCAUCACUCCAAUGAUGACCAUGACAGUUUCACCGCCAACGCAGAGACAAACAACUACGACAGGCAUCCAGCUGCUCACUAAAGUAUCUCAUACAGAAAAACCAGGAUGUCCAUGGAGAAUAGAGCUAUUUCAUCAAGCAAGUGAGAAUGAGGACCUGAAAGAGACCCUUGAAGAGGAGCUGAUCUGGGGCAGGGCGACCAUCAGCUCAGUGAAGCUGCAGCCGUGUGUGUUUGAGCUGUGCAAGUUUUACUCUCAGUGUGUGUGCAGAGGAUUCAGUCACAGAGCAGCAGAGUUACAGCGAUAUUGUGUGGAUAGCCAUCGCUGGUAUGAGAGACAUACAGCAGAGGUCUGCAGUCGUAUGAGGAGAGUCACUUUUUCCAAAAGUGAGUUACACAACAUCUAAUCUAACCCUAACAGCAAACAAAUCAAAACAUGCUAGCUCAAGUGGUAGAGCAUUGCGUUAACAAGUGCAAAGCUGGGGGUUCGAUUCCCCGGGAACACAUGAUAGAUAAAAAUUGAUAGCCUGAAUGCACUGUAAGUUGGUUUGGAUAAAAGCGUCUGCUAAAUGCAUAAAUUUAAUUUAAUUUAAUUUAAUGCUAACAUACAAUAAAAUAUACAAAUAUCAUAUUAUCA